AUGAGGUUUUCAGAAACCAUCUUUGCUUCAUUAGUACCAGAUGUGGGCUCCAGAAGCAGAGAGCUAUCAGGGUUCACCAAGAUGAGCACUGAGACAGGCCCUUCUAGGUCUGAGGCUGAGGAAGCAGCAGCAACUUGGUGCCUGUCCCCACUCCCCCAGCUGUCUACAGCUCAGAAGCCAAAAGCUCAGCUACUCCUAUUUGGAGAUGCAGUAGAGUGCUUCCUGGUCCAGUUGUUUAAAGUGCACUGGAUCACAUUAAAAAAAAAGAGGAUGAAAGAACAGCUGAGAAGAGAUCUACAGAGAAUCAAAGAAUAAUAAAACACAAAGUCUUUUAUUGAGAAACUGCACAAAUUAACUCCAAAUUACUACCACUGUCAUACAAGAGGAGGCUUCAAGGCACAAAACUUGUUGCUGCACUCCAUCUUGCUUUAUUGUGGUGUCUUCACUCAUGUACUAGUAGCUAAAAGCCAUCCUCUUUAGAGUACUACAUCUUUUAUCUCCUCUCUUCCCCCCUGUAUUUUAAUUAAAAGACAAUGAACCUUUUAAAGUAGUCAAAUGGAAAAUAUAAAAUUGCACCAUUUUAUCAGAGCUUAAGAUAUUCGUGUUCUCCAAUCAUGAGAAGAAUUCAAAAUAACAUACUUGGUAUUUUAUUACACGCCAGUCCCUCUCUGCCCUUUCUUUAUCGGGGCACUUGGUUGGAAGAGCUAUUUGAAACUAGAAAGGCAAUUCAACCUCAGACUGAUAAAUAGAGUUUUUGUUUUGUUUUUUUUUAAAGGCCAAGAAAGAUCAAUUUAAUCUAUUCUCUGGAUCAUCGUAGCUGAUUUUUAAUUUCUAAAAUAAUAUUGUUACUCUGCAUUUCUCCUAAAUUUAAGUGGCAGGUCUAAAAAUAAGUAGCCUGUCUUAUUUAAGCAUUAUUUACUCAUCAUGUUGUCAGUUUGAAGGCAUGUGGACUAAAAUAAGAAAAAUACAGUAAAAUGUUAUUGGAUGGUAAGAAGGCCGGAAUGCUUUGCUUUCCUCUAACUCUACAGCCUAAAUCUAUUAAUUUUGGCAAAGGGCACCAAGACAAAUCCAUGCUGUUUGAAAUGUUCCAUGGGAGCCUUUAAAAAUGAAGGUCUUGUCUACUCUUUAUGGACAUUAAAAUGCUUCAUCCCAAGGACCCUUUAUAGCAAAUUGCAAGCUGUUCUGUUUUAUCUGCUUUGACAGGAUGAAGGGCUGAGCUGGCCCUAGAGGGAUGGGAUACAGAGACUGAAUAGUUCAAACUUGAGAUUUCCAAUAAACCAUUUUCUACAAUUAGAAAAAAGACAUGGAAGAUAGUCAUUUCAGCAGAUAGUUUCAACCCAUUAAGAAUUACUUAUUGCAUCACUUAAAAUCUAACUAAAAUCAUGUUCCUUCAAUGCUUCACUCCAAACUAGCACUAAAGCCCUUAAAAUCAGCCU
rnacentral:lncRNA from 1 species